GACGAACGCUGGCGGCGUGCUUAACACAUGCAAGUCGAACGGAAAGGCCCUGCUUUUGUGGGGUGCUCGAGUGGCGAACGGGUGAGUAACACGUGAGUAACCUGCCCUUUACUUUGGGGUAACUUCAGGAAACUGGGGCUAAUACCGGAUAGGAGCUCCUGCUGCAUGGUGGGGGUUGGAAAGUUUCGGCGGUUGGGGAUGGACUCGCGGCUUAUCAGCUUGUUGGUGGGGUAGUGGCUUACCAAGGCUUUGACGGGUAGCCGGCCUGAGAGGGUGACCGGCCACAUUGGGACUGAGAUACGGCCCAGACUCCUACGGGAGGCAGCAGUGGGGAAUAUUGCACAAUGGGCGGACGCCUGAUGCAGCAACGCCGCGUGCGGGAUGACGGCCUUCGGGUUGUAAACCGAUUUCGCCUGUGACGAAGCGUGAGUGACGGUACUGGGUAAAGAAGCACCGGCUAACUACGUG
rnacentral:rRNA from 1 species